GAAGGGCCCAAGGGAUGGUCAGCUGCCCCUGAGAUGGGGACCUGGGAGAAAGAACAGGUUUGAAGGGGAGACGCUUAGGCUAGUUUGGAACAUGGGGGGUGUGGCAGCCCAGGGUGGGAGUGAAGAGAGAAGACCAGGCUUGAGAAAUCAGCCGUAAGGAAAGGAUCAGUAAGGAAAGAUUUGGCUGCAGGGAACAAAGUCCUGACUGGCGCUGGCUGAAACAAUGAGAUAACUGUAGAUUGCACAUCCCCAGAGUUGGGCAGACCUCUGGUCAUGACACAGUCCACAGCUCCAGGAGGGUCUUGUGGCCCCAGGGUUCCUCUCUCUCUACUCUGCCACUCUCAGCUGAAGGCUUGGCUCCCACACGGGCUCCCCUCACAGCCCCAAAGUGGCUGCCACAGGUCCGGGCAUCACAACCAGCCAUAAUUUCUAGUGCAAGAAGACAGGGGCAUCUCUUCCUGUGUCUCUUUGGAAACAAGGAAACCUUUUCCCAAAGCCUCCCCAGCAGACUUCUCUUCCAUCUCGUUGGCCAAAAUUGGCUCACAUGCCCGAACCAAUCAUUGGCUAGAGUGAUGGAGCCA
rnacentral:lncRNA from 1 species